AUUUAUGUGGCACUAGAAUUAAAAAAAUAUCUGUAGGACCCAUCUGUCAUUCACAUAGAAAAUGUAUUGUGGGCCCACACGUCAUCCUUUCUUUCCAACCCUUCUUCCUCCUCCAUCUCUCCCUUAUCUCUCUUUUCUUUCCCCCCUCGGCCAUGGCGGCUGUGGGAGAGACGACGGGUGUUGGAGCAGCGGCGGAGGCGAGCGGGCGAGGGCCGGAGCGGCAGCGACCUCCAAGUGCGGGAGCGCGGCGUGGCUUAGCCCAAAUUGACCGAGCGACAACCCAAUCGAUUCCAGGAGCGUCGAGCGAGCGCCGCCGCGGCGCCUCCCCCUGCUUACUGCUGCCCUCGCUUCUGCUCCUCGGUCCCGCACCUGCCUCCGCCUUCCCAGUCCGCGUGCUCCAUCGCCGCUGCUCCCGCAGCCCCGCGUGAGGCGUCCUUGGCGGAGGGCACGCUGUGGUGCGUUGUACGUCGCCGCGCUCUUGGAGCUUGGUCAACCCUCGGCAAGGCCGGCGAGCUGUUGGUCCGCCACCUCCCCUCCGCAAACCAGCGGGCGUCGCCGCUUCGGAGUUCCUCCCUGGGUGAUUUAUUUUCUUCAUGUACAUAAUCCCGGACGAGACCCGUGAUGGUGCUGGACAUGCCGGAAUCGUCGCCGGAGGCCUAGCAUCCGGGCAGAGCGAAGAAGGCAAGGCGGUGAAUCUUGACGCUGCUGCUGCGGUAAAGAGCGAUCUCAUCAUCAGUAGGGAGUGGAAAGCGGAGAUCGGGUGAGGGUUUUGGGAGUACGGCUCCGGCGACAUCCACCGGAGGAGAACCAGGUCACCGUGCGCUGCACGCUCAUCUCCGCAACCACCGUCACCGCCGCGUUGCCUUGGGCCACGACGCCAUCGAUCCGCAUCCGCCUCGGUCACCGUGGGAAAAAGAAGAAAGAAAAGAGAAGAAUAAAGAAAGGGAGGGGAGAAGAAAAUGUGACACCUACUAGUGGGUCCCACAUGCUGAGCCAGCUAGUUAGACUAGAUCAAAGCACCACGUCAGCGAAAACAUACUCCAAAACUAUCGAGGGAGUCAAAUUGCAUCAGUUUUAAUAGUUGAGAAAAUACAGAUAUCCGGUAUUACGGUUUAGGGGUACGAAUCAAAUUCGAUCACCAGUUAAGAGAGUCAAAGCGAACUUUUUUCCUUCCUAAGAAUGCUAUACGGCACUACCUGCUUCA